CUAGGCUGUAAAUCAUAACGCUUUAGGUGUAUUUCUCUUGAGUUGACGUCCCCUUAUAAAUAAUGUGGGGAAUGCUUUUAUUUUGUUGGCAGAAGACUGCUUUCUCCCUCUCUUCUGUUUUUAGAGUGACCUUCUUUCUCAGUCAAAUGGGAUAUAUCCAAGAGGCUCAUUUAUUGGGUCUUCCCAUGCACCAGCCUUGAUGCUCUGGUCAGUUAUUCAUUCAACAAACAUUUAUUGAGCACCAACUGUGAGCCAGCCCUGGGGAUGUGGCCAUGAGGAAGACAGACAAGAAAUCCCUUCUUACAGAUGUGGACUCUACUUUUAUGUCCCCUGAUUCUGAAAGCGGCACAGAAAGAGAGGGGGUCGUCACAGGUCCUCAAUGAGACCACAUGAGAGAAUUAGGCCAAGAUUGGACAUGGAACUUGUAGAAGACCAUACGCUAGUCCUUGUUCCAGUCACAUUGCCUCACCAAAGGCUUGGUAAGCUGGACUGAGAGGUUUUAGCAACAGCAAGGAGAGGUUAAACCAGCAGGGCAACAUCCAGUCUCUCCUUACCCAAGUAAACGAGGGGUGCCUCCAGCCCCCGAACAUCUUUGGGUUUCCCAGUGAAUGUGGCCCCAGCCCGGCUAAAGGGCAUAGAGCUCCCCAGGAUGCCGCCCACCUGCUGCGCCCAGCCCCGCCGAGCCCCUAGCAAGUUACCUCUCAGUAUCACUGUCACUGGAUGCCACUUCUUCCAAGGCAGCCUGCAGGUCGGCAAUCCGCCGAAUGGAUGUCUCCAGGUCUGUCUGGAGGGUUUGCCUCACUGCUGCAAGUUCCUCCACGUACUUCUCCUGGGGACAGAAGAUGCAAACACACGUUGGCCUUGGGCAAGAAAUGCACCACCCAUGCAUGCACUGGGGAAGAGACACGCCCCAGGCUGAGCCUAGUGUUCACUGAGCACCUAUGAAGUGAUGAGGAACUGAGGCCUUAAGAAGCAAAGACUUCAUGGCGGAGCUGGAACUCAAGCUCGGUGCCUCUGACGCCCCUCUCAGUGCUCAUCUUCGUGAUCAAUACUUUCUGGUACUUUUCUAAUUGGAUUUUAUCUGGACUCUUGGGAAAAUCUCUGACUUUAAUUUGCAACCUACACAUUGCUACCCUUUAACACAUAAUGAUUGUUACCUAAGAGUGAUUUUGCCCCCCAGGGGACAUUUGGUCAUGUCUGGAGACAUUUUUGGCAGUCGCAACUUGGGGAAAUGCUGCUGGCAUCUGGUGGGUAGAGGCCAGAGAUGCUGUUCAACAUCCUACAAGGCACAGGACAAUCCCACAAAGAAUUAUCCGGCCUGAAUGUCCACGGUGCUGAGUCUGAAACCCUGGGUGAGACCCAGCAUCUAACCUCCUGGUAAUUAAUUCAUCUUACGGGGGAUAAAUCAAGACACAGAACACAGCUCUAUGCCCGAGGAUGUUUGCAGCAGUGCUACUGAUGACAAGGAGAGGCUGGGAUCUGCCUCAUCACCCAGCAAUUGGGAAUGGUUAGGGAAAUCACAGUGUGUCACUUUGAUGCUCUUAGGCAGACAUCAACAUUAGAAAUAAGAAUUGUGGCAGCGUGGAGUGCUUCUUUGAAAUAACAUGAAGCAAACGGAAUAGAUCCGAGCAGUAUCAUGCUCAAGUCUAUGCAAAUAACACUCAUGGAGAAUUGAGAAUAUUUAUGGAUGGGGCAAAGCGGGGUUAUAGAUGGGAUUUUUCUUGUAACCGGCUCUAAUUAUGUAAAGUUUAUUUUUGGACUGCUGUGUAAAGGAACAUACAUACCACCUGAGGACAGUGGGAGGGGAGAAAUUUGAGGAUGUGGGGUCAAAGCGCAAUUCCCAGCUCCCCAUGGAACUGAGUAGCUAAGUGAAAAUGAAUGGCUCACAGCCCCUCUCUUAGCCUGGAGUCUUUUUUUUUUUCUUUUUCUUUUUUUUUUUUUUUUUUUUUUUUUUUUUUUUUUGAGACAAAGUCUUGCUCUGUUGCACAGCCUGGAGUGCAGUGGCAUGAUCUCAGCUCACUGCAACCUCCACCUCCCGGGUCCAAGCAAUUCUCCUGCCUCAGCCUCCCAAGUAGAUGGGAUUACAGGCACCCACGACCACACUUGGCUAAUUUAUGUAUUUUUUAGCAGAGAUGGGAUUUCACCACGUUCGCCAGGCUGGUCUCGAAUUCCUGACCUCAAGUGAUUCACCCACCUUGGCCUCCCAAAGUGCUGGAAUUACAGGCGUGAGCCACUGCACCCGGCCUCAUUUUUCUUUAUUUUGCAGAUGAGGAAACUAAAGCCAGCAAGGUCAGUCAGCGAGGUCACUCAGGAAAGGCGCAGAGCUGGGAUCUGAACCCUGGGCUUGGUGGCUCCCAGUCCAGUGCUCUUUCUGGGGCUAUGACUGCAUUCCCCAAUGGAAGUCAGCGAGGACCAUUACAGGGACACACUCAGCUCUCUGCACAUUGGCUUGCCCAUUCACAUUAUUGUAAGUCUGUGCCUUUCCAGUGUUUUCUGAUUUUAAAGAGAGAGAGAGAGGCAGCAGGCAAAGACUGAGUAAGCCUAAGGGCCAGGUCAAGCUGAUGAGAGGGAGAAGGGGUGGCGGGAAGGACGCCGUGGUGGUGGCAUGAGAAGGAGCUGCCAGUCCAUCCCAGUUGAUUGAAGCCACCAACUGUGAAAUCCCCAUCUCAGCCUUGACAAGGUGAGAGACAACCCGAGGUUGGGGCCCCCAGGCUGUCAGAGGAAACAAAAGACACUGAGGGACUGUGAAGGAGGGGGUGCUCACCCCAGGACAUCAGCAUGUCAGCUCAUAAAUGCACCUAGAAAACAGCUAGGUGCAAAAUCCCGGCAGCUUCUGGGAGCAUCUGCCCAGGCUCCACUCUUUUUUUUUUUUUUUUUUUUUGAGACGGAGUCUCACUAUCUCGGCUUACUGCAAGCUCCGCCUCCCAGGUUCAAGCCAUUCUCCUGCCUCAGCCUCCCAAGUAACUGGCACUACAGGCACCUGCCACCACGCUGGCUUUUUUUUUUUUUUUUUUUUUUUUUUGUAUUUUUAGUAGAGACAGGGUUUCACCGUGUUAGCCAGGAUGGUCUUGAUUUCCUGACCUCGUGAUCCACCCGCCUCGGCCUCCUAAAGUGCUGGGAGUACAGGCGUGAGCCACCACGCCCGGCCAGCUCCACUCUGUUCUACUGGACCAGGACAACAGUGUCACUGGGCAUUAGCCACUUUCUCCCAGAUGUGGCACCUGUAUCUUUGUAAGACACAGAGGCAGAAAAAUCUGUAUUUCUGUCUUAGAUUCUAUCCCAAGUCCACACAUCUGGGCCAUUGUGGGUUAUGUGUUAAGUACAGUGAAUCCUAAAAGCAUUGGUUCAACGAAUGUCUAACCAAAUGACCUGUCUGAGGUCACGCCGCCGGGAGACCACAAAGCUGAGAUGUGCAUCCAGGUCUUGGGUUCUUAAGUGGGAACCCUUUAAGUCACAUGUGCUGAGACAUGAGAAAAGGGUACAGACAUCCCCUCCUCGUUUUGCUUAGGUGAACCUUGCCCAUGUCAGUGUCAUGCAGGAGCAGCAAGGUGUACAGUCCACAUCCUCAGGGAGCUUCCUGGAGGGUAGAGGAGAGAGACAGAAAGAGGCACAGUGUCUCAGGGAUGGGUGGGCCUCGGCUGGGACUAAGCAAGUGGGCAGAAGAAAUAGGAGUCUAAAAUGAGUCAAAUCCACAAUAUCAUAAAAGUGAAAGUAGGCUCUGGAGCCGAGCUGCCGGGGUUCAAAUCCCAACUCUGCUGCUCACUGGCUGUGUGACCUCCAGCAAGUUACAGAACCUCUCUGACCCUCAGUUGUCUCACUGGGGAAAUGGGGCCAGUAGCAGACCCUCCCUCACAGGGCUUUUGCGAGGAGUAAAUGAGCUUGGCAGAGUGGAAACUUGACCAACAGUGGCAUAGCUAUCCUUUAAUUCUCAUAGGAGAAGGAGUCUCAGGAAGAACAGUGUCAUCCCCAGGUCACUGUGGAGAUUUGCCAAGGUCACAAACCAAAUAAAA
rnacentral:lncRNA from 10 species